AAUAGCUACUAACUUGAAUUUGUAUUCAAAUUCCCAGUUUGGGAACCACUGUAUUAAUGGUAUGUGGUUCAUGUUACAAACACUGCUCAUGUCAUUUAAACUGGUAUUUAAGAGCCCAAACCAAUGUCAUUUGAUGACACUUAAAUAAUCUAAAAGGAACUUUUAGCAUUUAUUAUUUUCAAUGUCCUCGCGAGACUUUGUGUUUACCUAGGGCUGCACAAUGUAUCAACAUUUACUUCAAUAUUUGCUAUUCUACAGACUUAAUAAAACAUGUUGUUUGAUACAGGUCAUGCUAAAAAAACAACUCUCUACUAAUGUGUAUACAUUUUUUGAUGAUGAAUAAUGUUUCAAAUGUGUUUAUCAUCCAAAAUUGCGAAUCCAUUGCAAUUUCAGUCAAAAUAAUCGCAAUAAGAUAUUUUUUCCAAAUUGUGCUAACCUAUUCAAUACUAUGAUUUGAGACCAACAGUUAUCAAUAUGUUACAUGACCUUUUAUCUCUUACUUUAUAUAAGUGAAUGAACUGGUUGCACUGAUCCCAUACAGCGACCAAAGGCUACGACCCCAAAGAACGAAGCUGUAUGUGGUCCUGUCAGUGGUGUUGUGCCUCCUUGCUUCCUCCCUGGUGGCCUUCUUCCUCUUCCCUCGCUCUGUGAUCGUGGUGGAUGAUGGGAUACACUCUGUGUCCGUACGCUUCGACAACUUC